CAAGGCUUGGCAGUGCCUCUGGACAGCCAAGGCCAGGGGAUCGAUGUUCAGGGCCUGGGGUGGCGACAGUGGUGAGCUCUCCUGGGUCCACUGGCUUUCCCUUCAACAGAGCCCCUGGGGAGCAGCCCCCUGGAGGCUGGCCUGAGACAUUCCUAUGUCCUGCUCGCCCACAGGCCUUCUUCGAGGCAGCCAGCAUGAUGAGACAGGUCUCCCACAAACACAUCGUGUACCUCUAUGGCGUCUGUGUCCGCGACGUGGAGAAUAUCAUGGUGGAAGAGUUUGUGGAAGGGGGUCCUCUGGAUCUCUUCAUGCACCGGAAAAGCGAUGUCCUUACCACACCAUGGAAAUUCAAAGUUGCCAAACAGCUGGCCAGUGCCCUGAGCUACUUGGAGGAUAAAGACCUGGUCCAUGGAAAUGUGUGUACUAAAAACCUCCUCCUGGCCCGUGAGGGCAUCGACAGUGAGUGUGGCCCGUUCAUCAAGCUCAGUGACCCCGGCAUCCCCAUUACGGUGCUGUCUAGGCAAGAAUGCAUUGAACGAAUCCCAUGGAUUGCUCCCGAGUGUGUUGAGGACUCCAAGAACCUGAGUGUGGCUGCUGACAAGUGGAGCUUUGGAACCACGCUCUGGGAAAUCUGCUACAAUGGCG
rnacentral:sRNA from 1 species